rnacentral:rRNA from 1 species
AGUGAACGCUGGCGGUAGGCCUAACACAUGCAAGUCGAACGGCAGCACAGUAAGAGCUUGCUCUUACUGGUGGCGAGUGUUGGACUGGUGAGGAAUACAUCUGAAUCUACUUUUUCGUUGGGGAUCACGUAGUGAAACUUACGCUAAUACCGCAUACGACCUACGGGUGAUAGCAUGGGAUCUUCGGACCUUGCGCGAUUGAAUGAGCCGAUGUCGGAUUAGCUAGUUGGCGGGGUAAAGGCCCACCAAGGCGACGAUCCGUAGCUGGUCUGAGAGGAUGAUCCGCCACACUGGAAGUGAGACACGGUCGAGACUCCUAAGGGAGGCAGCAGUAGGGAAUAUUGAACAAUGGGAGAAAGAGUGAGCAAGGAAUACCGCGUGGGUGAAGAAGGCCUGCGGGUUGUAAAACGCUUUUGUUGGGGAAGAAAAGCAGAAGGUUAAUACCCCGCUGAACUGACGGUACCAAAACAAUAAGCACCGGCUAACUUCGUG